GUAAUGCGCUCAGACAUUUUAUUUUGAGGAAGACUCAAUGAUCAUUGUAAGUAGUUAGCUUUGUAUAAAAAAGCUCUUAACUCUGCAGUGUAUUGUUGCCUUUUGCAAAUGGCAUUAAGCUGUGAUUAUUACCCACAAGUCUUAAGAAUUAUAAUUCAGGCUAAGUGUACGCUCAGUGGUAGAGCACGUGCUUAGAAUACUCAAGGCCCUGGUUCGAUCCCCACAAAACAACACAUUCACACACAAAGCUCAAGGAGGAAACAAAAGGAAAGGAUAUAAAGAAAUAUCACUUAAUUCCAUUAUUCAUUGCAGAAACAAGGAAUGCUAAAUAAAUGUUUCUCACUUAAGCAAAGCUGAUCUGCUAGCAUUAGUUCAAUUUCCCUUUUACUUCUUUGCCUGCUUGUGUUCAUACAAGUCCUUUCAUGAAGGGGAGAGAAAUUUCCCCAAGUGUGUUAGGAAUGCAAAAUCAAAUUGUCAUAAAAAUCUUUCAUUAAAAGCUACAAUCCUGAACUUCACAUAAAUUAAAUCAGAGAGUAUGCAUCUGUCAAGGUUUGGAUAUGAGGUGUCCCCCCAAAUUCCUUGUGGUAAUGCAAAAAUGUUGGGAGGUGAAGUGAUUUGAUUGUGACAGCAGUAGCCUAAUCAGUCCAUCUUGGACUGACUUGUCCUCUUCCCUGUGGCUCGUCCCCCGCUUCCCCCUCUCUGCUUCCUAGUUACCAUAAAUGGAGAAGCGUUCCUCUACUAAGUCCUUCUGCCAUGAAAUUCUGCCUCACCUUGAGUUCAGAGAAAUUAACUUGACUAAUCAUGGACUAAACCUCUCGAACCAUGAGCCAACAUAAACUUUUCCUUCUUUAAAUUGUUCCUGUCAGGUAUUUUUGUUACAGAGACAAAAAACUGACAAUACUCUUUUAUAUAUGGCUUCUUUUACUCAGGUUGAUAUUUUGAGAUUCAGCCAUAUAUUCACAUGUAUCAGUACAGCAUUCUUUUUCCUUGCUAAAUAUUACUUCAUUGUGUGGAUAUACUCAUGUUUAUCUAUUCUCUUGGUAAUGAAUAUUUGUAUUAUCUUCCAGGUUUAAGUUAGAUGAAUAAGGCUGCUGUGACCAUUCUUGUAUGAAGAAAUACAAGCCUAGAGGAGCUAAGGGAUAUUCUUAAGAGCUACCAGCUAAACCCCUGUUCCUGGAGAUCAUGUCCUGCCCGUGUUGCCCCUGUCUAGGACUGCUAGUAAUGACACUGGCUUUUACUUUCCCUGACAUCUUUCUCAUGCUUUCUUCUAGUUCUACUUGGCAUGUGGGGGAACAGCUCUCAAGCUGUUCAAGCCUCAAGACUUACUUCCUCUGGACUUUCCUAAACACCUGCGUAUAGGUUUUUGCCUCACUUGUAUAUACUGACUUAGCUACUUGUCAUUCUGAUGUUUUCACAUACUUUAAUCAUUUGUACUUCUUUUGCAUCUUUUCCACUGGGAGUAACCAUAAUUUCAUCAUUUAGAGUCUCCCAUCUCUCCUGAACCAUUUCCCAGUUAGAAAACAAACCUUUAUAUAGCCUAUGUCAAAUCAUGUCAGCACAUAGUAGGUUAUAUUUAUUGAAUCUCUAUCUAUAGGUUCAUAUUUAUGUUUACUUUGAAUUAAUUAAAAAGAACAUGGCUUUA